AUAAAUAAAUAUCGGUUGGAAUUAAAGGUUCUUCCGGUCGUUGUCGUGUGCUUCCGGUUGGGCUGCUUUGAGUCUGUAGUUUAAAUGUAAGCUUAACAUAAACAGACAUAAAACGAUGCAAGUUAGUCGACGCUGUAUGGACAGAAUUUUCUCGAUCGUUCUUCUGGCCGUGGUUCUGCUGUCCUGGGGCUUCGUUAUCUACGGCACACGGAUCGCCGCCCAAUGGGAGCUGGAGAAGAGAGAACUGAUCAAGACGUGAAACAACAACAAACAUGACUUCCGUCGAUACAGACUCAUCUAAAGCCCAUAUCAGAGGAAAAACCCUUAUGAAACCAGCAGAGAUCUGGAGAUCCAGACUGAAUCAACGCCAGAAAUGUGUUCAGAAUAAUGUGUGAUUUUUUUUUUAUUUUUUCCCUCUCUCUCUCUUCUUGAUUUGUUUCAUUAAACGAUGUAAAUACUUCAAUUUUUAAAUAUAUAUUUUUCAAACAGAAAGUGUUUUUCUGAUUAAUAUUUGAUCAAACACUGUAUUUUUUUUGUCAGAUCCAAAGAAAAAUAUUUAAUAAUAUUUAAUAAAAAAUUAAAACAA